rnacentral:rRNA from 1 species
AUUGAACGCUGGCGGCAGGCCUAACACAUGCAAGUCGAGCGGAUGAAGGGAGCUUGCUCCUGGAUUCAGCGGCGGACGGGUGAGUAAUGCCUAGGAAUCUGCCCGGUAGUGGGGGAUAACGUCCGGAAACGGGCGCUAAUACCGCAUACGUCCUGAGGGAGAAAGUGGGGGAUCUUCGGACCUCACGCUAUCAGAUGAGCCUAGGUCGGAUUAGCUAGUUGGUGGGGUAAAGGCCUACCAAGGCGACGAUCCGUAACUGGUCUGAGAGGAUGAUCAGUCACACUGGAACUGAGACACGGUCCAGACUCCUACGGGAGGCAGCAGUGGGGAAUAUUGGACAAUGGGCGAAAGCCUGAUCCAGCCAUGCCGCGUGUGUGAAGAAGGUCUUCGGAUUGUAAAGCACUUUAAGUUGGGAGGAAGGGCAGUAAGUUAAUACCUUGCUGUUUUGACGUUACCGACAGAAUAAGCACCGGCUAACUUCGUG